AUGGGUAGCUCAGAGGUAAAGCACUGGUCUCUUUUUCAUAAGAAUCGUGGUUCAAACCAGGACACCGAUAGCAAUAAACAUAUGCUGACGAUGGCUUACACAAGCGAGGAUCUCGAAAAUGCGGUAGCAACGUACGUCUCCGGUGAGGGAUCAUAUCGAAGCAUCUUCCGUGAACUGAGUAGCGAAAGAAACAUACCGAUACUGACCCAUCGUUUGGAACUUCAAAGAGUCAUCAGUGUUUACAAUAAUGGCAUGUGCAAGUGCAUAUUGCGUUUUACGAGGAAUAUGGCGAAAAAUAUUCCUUUGCUACUGAAAGUGUCACAGGAGCGAGUGAAUCAAACAGUGGUCAAAAGCGAUGAAGAAACUUAUGUUGACUGUGAAGAAGAAACUGAAACCUUUUAUGAAAUGGAGGAAGAUGAAACAUUUUUCGACUGUGAGGAACACAAUAUCAAUAAAUGUGAUGACUCAGAACUUCUUGCGAUCAUACAAGAAGUUGAAGCUCAAAUUCAUCAAUCUAAUCUCAUCAAAAAGUCAGGUUACUCAAGAAAUAGCGAAGAGUACCAAGAGUCAGAGACCAUUUGGAAGAAACGGAUGGAGACCAAAGAGAGGGAAUUUCAAGAACAAAGCCGUCAUCUUUUUAAAAGAAUUGAAGAAAAAUUUUUUUAUACAGGCACGUUUUGUGAUAACUGCAGUUCAUCAGCGGCGUAUGUUAUUCGUUGCAAAAAAUGCAGGGAGCAUUUAAGUGUGAAUUGCGACUUUGAAAAGCAUAGAGAACUUUUCUGUCAUCGUCGUAGUUACUUAUCCCUUGAGAAUCAGCUUGUCGUGUUAAGGCCAACUGAGUUCGUAAGCCUUGAAGGAGUAAUUACAAUCAUAGACAUUCCAAUUCCUCUUUAAGUUCCAACAGCUUGCAUCAACAAGUCGUGUACGGCUCUAAAUUCAAUGCUGCUUAGUUGUGGACCUACAAAAGUCGCUGUUGUAACCAAGGAAGGCCGAUUUGAUUUAAACACUACCGAAUUUGUGUGUUGUGUCUGCAAAGCAUCUCGGAUUGCCAGCAACGAAGAUUAUUUGUGUUCCGGCUAUUGGCCCAGCUCAUUAUCAAACAAUUCUUAUUUCACCGAGGAAGAUUUGCUUGGAAUGUGGUACCAUCUCAGACACAAAACCCCUGGGACCUCUGAACGGAAAUUCAUCGAAACUCUACAGGAAAUCUCCUUGGAAAACAACAGGGUUAAUAUUAUCAACUACACUCUAUUCAACCGUACUCGGAGGGAAUUUUAAUAUUUCCCUAUCUUAAGGACAAAGAAAUUCUCAGACAUCACGGGAAUUGCAAACUUUGUGGCCGUCAUCCUCACAGCAUGCAAGCCGAUGCCAUCAGAAAACUAUACCGCUUUGCUUCGGCAAAAGAUCGCCAUGGAGAAUCCCUGUAUAAAGAUCCCAUAAUGGCAAAUGACAAGACACAGUUGGAGCAUAUUUCAAAAAUUGAAAAAAAGAUUCCUGCGGACAAAGGAGAUGACGUAUGUGGCUCUUCAGCAUGGAAGGCGGCCCGAGGUGAUUCGUACAGCAAAAGAAAUAUAAAUAUCACUGGGCUUGAAAUGAUGAGUUGUACUCAUGAUACGGUAGUUUAUUCCGCCAAUUUAUUCAAGGGCGAAACCUACAAACAUACAUAUCUCCAACACUUGAAAGCUUACGAGAAGGGAACUAAAUUUUUUUGCAACGACGUCAUUUGCAAAUAUUGGCCAUUUGCCGUUAAAGUAGGAAAUCUGUUUGCUGAUUCCAAUCCGGAAUACAAGAAACUUACUCAGGACAUGGUGCCUUUUCUUUCACGUUCCCAUGGCUUAGGCCAUUUCUGGGCUUGUAGAGUUCUGUACAAUGGACACUGGGAGAAAGAUGGGGUGGAUAUGUUGGGUGAAGAACAGGAGCAAGUUUUUUCCUACAUGGCCCGUCUAGUUUCAACGACAAAACAUCAGAGCAGAGCUAGUAGGAGAGACGACAUUUCAAGCGCUAUUCUUUACUUCAACCUCGAUAAACAGAAAAGAAUGAUUCCUUCUCUUUGUUUAUGGCUGAACAGGUGCAAAACACUUCUAUACGGGAAAAAACUACAAAGCAUGCUGGAUCAUCGUGGAUUAAAUAAAGAAGAUCUCCCUCUGAUACUUCAGCGAUUUAAAAAACAGGUGAAACUGGUUAACAGUAAGCUUUUACUGUCGACUGGGACAUAGAAAUUCUACAAAAGGAACUUGAAGGUGAAUGCCACAUGAUUAAAGUUCUUCACACACGCAACGCUA
rnacentral:sRNA from 1 species